rnacentral:rRNA from 1 species
AGGACGAACGCUGGCGGCGUGCUUAACACAUGCAAGUCGAGCGGAAAGGCCCUUCGGGGUACUCGAGCGGCGAACGGGUGAGUAACACGUGAGCAACCUGCCCUUAGCUUCGGGAUAGCUCCGGGAAACCGGAAUUAAUACCGGAUAUGACUAUGGCCGACAUCAGCCAUGGUGGAAAGUUUUUCGGCUAGGGAUGGACUCGCGGCCUAUCAGCUAGUUGGUGAGGUAACGGCUCACCAAGGCGACGACGGGUAGCCGGCCUGAGAGGGCGACCGGCCACACUGGGACUGAGACACGGCCCAGACUCCUACGGGAGGCAGCAGUGGGGAAUAUUGCGCAAUGGGCGAAAGCCUGACGCAGCGACGCCGCGUGGGGAUGAAUGCCUUCGGGUUGUAAACCCCUUUCAGCAGGGACGAAGCGAAGUGACGGUACCUGCAGAAGAAGCGCCGGCUAACUACGCGCCAGCAGCCGC